GACGAACCGUCCAAACGUUAUUCGGAAUUAUUGGGCUUAAAGGGUGCGUAGGCUGUGCAGUAAGUUGGGUGUGAAAUCCCUCGCUCAACCGAGGAACUGCGCCGAAUACUGCUGUGCUAGAGGAAGAUAGGGGUAAGCGGAACUGAUGGUGGAGCGGUGAAAUGCGUUGAUAUCAUCAGGAACACCGGUGGCGAAGGCGGGUCUCUGGGCCGAUACUGACGCUGAGGAGCGAAAGCAUGGGGAGCGAACAGG
rnacentral:rRNA from 1 species